GACGAACGCUGGCGGCGUGCCUAACACAUGCAAGUCGAACGGAGAGUUAGCAAUAACUCUUAGUGGCGAACGGGUGAGUAACGCGUGGGCAACCUGCCCUUCAGACGGGGACAACAUUCCGAAAGGAGUGCUAAUACCGGAUACGACCUUUUUACAGCCUGGUGACAAGAAGACAGGUGGCCUCUAUUUAUAAGCUACCGCUCAAGGAUGGGCCUGCGUCUGAUUAGCUAGUUUGUGGGGUAAAGGCCUACCAAGGCGACGAUCAGUAGCCGGUCUGAGAGGAUGAACGGCCACAUUGGGACUGAGACACGGCCCAAACUCCUACGGGAGGCAGCAGUGGGGAAUCUUCCGCAAUGGACGAAAGUCUGACGGAGCAACGCCGCGUGAGUGAAGAAGGUCUUCGGAUCGUAAAGCUCUGUUUAAAGGGACGAAUGGUGAGUAUGUGAAUAAUGUAUUGACAUGACGGUACCUUUGGAGGAAGCCACGGCUAACUACGUGCCAGCCGCCGCGGUAA
rnacentral:rRNA from 1 species